rnacentral:lncRNA from 1 species
UUACAGUAGUCCAAGAUUCAUAAGAUGCAGACAGUUAAUGAAGGAUUAUCAAGACCAAAAAACUGAACAGCCACAUACCAGAUUCUUAUGCUUAUAUACAAGCAUUAGGACAACAUAACUAGUAACCAGGGAGAAAAAGUCAAAAAUGCAGUACAUUGGGGAAAAGGAACUGGCAAAAGAUGACAAAAGAAAAUUACCCUUGCGAUCUUUGCUAAUUUGCUUACAAGGAAACAUUGUCCGAAUUUAAACAAUGAGGAUUUUCUAGCAUUCCCUUCAAACAAGUAUACAAAAAAUGGCCAUAAUUACAAGUGCCAAUUGGCUAGAGAUCUCUUAAGCCAUCACUUCUUGAACAAGCAAAAGAGCAUUCUCAACUAAACAGUUAAAUAGUCCUUAAGAAUGUACAAUGCGCAGUCACAGUCAAAACAUAUUUAGCUCGGAAAGGUCGUCCAUUGGUAUUUCAAGUCCCACACAAUCAUGAUCUUGCAAACCAUCAACAUCAAAGUUGAACCAAGUAUUGAAAUCCUGAGGCGCCCCAAGCUCAGAUUCUACACCUAGCUCGUCUAUCACCGAAUGUACAAUGAGCAGUCACAGUCAAAACAUAUUUAGCUCAGAAAGAUCGUCCAUUGGUAUUUCAAGCCCCACACAAUCAUGAUCUUGCAAACCAUCAACAUCAAAGUUGAACCAAGUAUUGAAAUCCUGAGGCGCCCCAAGCUCAGAUUCUACACCUAGCUCUUCUAUCACAUCAAUGUCAUU